UACAGAGGUCUCAAGCGUUGUUCGGAUUCAUUGGGCGUAAAGGGUGCGUAGGCGGCGCGGUAAGUCGGGGGUGAAAUCUCGGAGCUUAACUCCGAAACUGCAUUCGAUACUGCCGUGCUUGAGGACUGGAGAGGAGACUGGAAUUUACGGUGUAGCGGUGAAAUGCGUAGAUAUCGUAAGGAAGACCAGUGGCGAAGGCGGGUCUCUGGGCCGUAACUGACGCUGAGGAGCGAAAGCAUGGGGAGCGAACAGG
rnacentral:rRNA from 1 species